rnacentral:tRNA from 1 species
GCCUGGGUGGCUCAGUCGGUUGAGCAUCCGACUUCGGCUCAGGGCAUGAUCUCACAGCUUGUGGGUUCAAGCCCCGCGUCGGGCU